UAAUUUAAUUUAAUCGGAAAUCUCUCUGAACUACAAGAAAACAAGACAAAAAAAAUAAAAAAUAAAAUAAUAAUAACAAUAACUAAAUAACAUGAAAAUAAAAUCGCACAUUUCCCAAUGCCAACCAUACCAACGUGACUGCAAAACAAAUGCACCGGAUAAACCAAAACCGGCAACCGAGCGCGUGCAGGCUGUCGAUGGGUUAGGCGAGCUUGCACCCGGCAUUCCUGCCUGGACCUUCGGGAAGUACGUGUCGCUCCCGUAGCCUGAACGCGACUGAACAGAAACCACCCGGCUACUUCCAGCUGCAGGAGUUUGAAAAAAUAGAGCUUUAAAGGAAAAUUGUUCAAUCCAAAGCUAUUACGCAAUAACUUUGAAGACAGAUAUUGCAAAAAAACAAAAA